UGUCCAGCAACUCCUAUCCCAAACUCUUCGCGGUACUGGCCGGGGUACGAGUAACCUUAGGGAAGG
rnacentral:ribozyme from 1 species